UUAACACAUGCAAGUCGAGCGGAAAGGCCCCUUCGGGGGUACUCGAGCGGCGAACGGGUGAGUAACACGUGGGUAAUCAACCCCUUGACAUCGGGAUACCCCGGGGAAACCCGGAUCAAUACCGGAUAAGGUGCGGAGGCGCAGGCCGCCGUACCAAAGAUAGCUUCGGCUUUCGGUCAAGGACGAGCCCCGCGGCCCCAUUAGCUUGUUGGUGGGGUAAUGGCCUACCAAGGCGACGAUGGGUAGCUGGUCUGAGAGGACGAUCAGCCACACUGGGACUGAGACACGGCCCCAGACUCC
rnacentral:rRNA from 1 species